rnacentral:rRNA from 1 species
UCAGAGUACGUGAAACUGCUUAGAGGUUAAGCCCGAUGAACCUGAAUAUCCAUUAUGGAAAAUUCAUCAUUAUAUAUGUAAUAUCAAAAAUAUUAUAUAAAUGGUGUGCAUUUUUUCCAUAAAAGGACAUUGUAAUCCAUUAAAUUUCAAUAUAAAUUUAUCAUAAAAUCAUGUGCUUUCGCUUGUAUUAUAUGUCUUUUAUUAGGCUUAUAAAACAAAUGCAUUUGAUUGGAUAAAGAUUUGAUGGAUUUUUAUAUAUAACGCUUAAAUAUUUAUAUUUUACAAUUGCAUGAUAAUCAUUGAUUAUUUGUGUAUAUUGUAUGCGUUUAUAUGAUUAACAAUGCGAAAGAUUCAGGAAACCUUCGGGACCCGUCUUGAAACACGGACCAAGGAGUCUAACAUAUGUGCAAGUCAUUGGGAAUAUAUUAAACCCACUGGCAUAAUUAACUUAACUGAUUUAUUGGGAUUAAUUUUUAAUUAAAAUUUUUGAUUAUUAAUUCAAUCCCGGGGCGUUCUAUAUAGUUAUGUAUAAUGAUAUUUAUAUUAUUUAUGCCUCUAACUGGAACGUACCUUGAGCAUUUAUGCUGUGACCGA